UACGUAGGGCGCAAGCGUUGUCCGGAUUUACUGGGUUUAAAGGGUGCGUAGGCGGUCUUUUAAGUCUGUGAUGAAAUGCUCGGGCUCAACUCGCAGCGCUGUUACAGAUACUGAUUGACUUGAGAUAGGACGAGGUGGUUGGAAUGAGCGGUGUAGCGGUGAAAUGCGUAGAGAUCGCUCAGAACACCCAUUGCGAAGGCAGAUCACUAGACCUAUUCUGACGCUGAGGCACGAAAGCGUGGGGAGCAAACAGG
rnacentral:rRNA from 1 species